CUUAUGCAACCCUUAUUCUGAAUGUACGACCAAUUGAUAGGAGACUUACAUGCUUUUAUCCUUCCCAUUGCAAGUUUAUUUAAUUGCAUCAUUGCCUGCCAGUUUUGGCUGUCAAAACUUCAUCUACAAUGUCAGUAUCAUGAAGGCAGAGAAACUCUUUCAGAAGAAGGGACAUCCAACAAAGGACAUCCAACAAAUUUGACCCAGUUAAAGAAAUGAGAUUUAGCUAAGAUACUUAUUCAUAUGAUUGCUUUCAAUUCCAGAUUUUGCUAUUUUUGCUUAUGAAUUAAUAGUUUUUUUUGUUGUCAACUCUAAAUAGCUUUUAGACAUGGCUAUAGUCUCCUUUAUUUUGCUUUACUAUCUGAAUAGUGAAAGCUUUUUUUCAAUUAGUACAUGGUUAAAUUCUAAAUUUGCUUAACUAAAGGUCUGAUUCUAUUUGAUUUUCAGGCAAUUUCCUAUUUGGCUCAAGAAUGUUUGGGUUUAUGGUCCGGGAACUACAUCCUUAUACCUCUCACAUCCAUGGUGGGAAGCAAGCAUUAACACAGUAAAUGACCUGAAUGGAAAGGGAAUGUGGCAUGUGGUUCAUUCUCCUUUUCGUCUCCAUUUUGUUACUGCAAUUCUUGAUCUGAAGUGGAAUGGAGUUAGUAUAUAAGAUUGGUGGCAGAAUGAACAGUUCUGGGUUCAUAUAAUGAGGAUAGGGACUUUGCUGAGCUCUAUGGACAUUACUUCUCAUCCUAAUCUUAGAGUAAAAGAAAGACAUUGAUGCUCCCAACUACCAAAAAAGCAUGACGAUGAUUGAUGAUCUGUGAUGGAUCUGCAAGAAAAAGAGCAUGAGUUCUACACCAAUGAUAGUAUAAAAUGUGUUAUUCUAAACACAAUUGGUGACUACUAUACAGCUCUAAGGGACCACACUUCUUGAUAAAUGGUGGCAAAAAAGAGCAUGCAAAGAUCAAUGUUUGUUGUAAUGAUGUUUCAAGGUGUUGCCACCUAUGUAUAAGUACCCUGCAAUAUUGACUCAAACUUGGAUGACUUCAAAUAAACAAAAUGAUGUCAUAUUUUAUGAUUUAUCUUUCACAAUCCUAAUUUGUGAUACUAUCACAUUCUUUUUUUUU